GCCCGCUGCUGCCCCAGCCCCAGCAGUGCCACCUCCAGCGCCAGCACCAAGUAGGACUCCCCAGGGCUCCCGGGCACAGGCACGUGCUGACUAGAGUGCAAUGGCGUGAUCUCAGCUCACCACAACCUCCAGGUACCUCCCGGUUCAAGGGAUUCUCCUGCCUCAGUGUCCUGAGUAGCUGGGAAUACAGCUAGCAGAAGGCCAAGCCAGACCAGCCCAGGACUGCAGGUGUUUUAAGCAUUUUACUUCACUUGCCCACUUGGGCUGCCAUUGCUCCUGCCCUUGGCACUCGCUCUUUCCUGGCUAGACAAGUUGGGAUUAGUCCUGGAAGAACAGCCAAGGACUGGGGUCUGCUUUGCUCUGCCCCACUCCCUCUCUCUCCUGGGAAGAGGACCAUGAUGUGGGGGCUCAGGACGACGCAAACCCACAGGGCCCCUGAGGAGGCACGGGGCAGGCUCAAUAUUCCUGCCAACAGUGGCAGCAACACACACUUCCGCAGUGCCCACUGUGUGCCACCUGAUGAUCUGCUAACCCCUCACCUCGACCCUCGGAAGUUGCAACUCGCAGCCUUUGCACCUUACAGACAAGCAAACUGAGGCACAGAGACAUAACACGGCUUGCACAGGGUCACACCGCUGAAAACACAUGUUGGCCGGUGCGGUGGCUCAUGCCUGUAAUCCCAGCACUUUGGGAGGCCUAGGCAGGCGGAUCACGAGGUCAGGAGAUCGAGACCAUCCUGGCUAACACGGUGAAACCCCAUCUCUACUAAAAAUACAAAAAAUUAGCCGGGCGUGGUGGCAGGCGCCUGUGAUCCCAGCUACUCGGGAGGCUGAGGCAGGAGAACAGCGUGAACCUGGGGGGCGGAGCUUGCAGUGAGCCGAGAUCGUGCCACUGCACUACAGCCUGGGUGACAAAGCAAGACUCCAUCUCAAAAAAAAAAAAAAAAAAAAAAGGCUGGGCGUGGUGGCUCACGCCUGUAAUCCCAACCCUUUGGGAAGCCGAGGCGGGCGGAUCAUGAGGUCAGGGGAUCGAGACCAUCCUGGUUAACCCAGUGAAACCCCGUUGCUACUAAAAAUACAAAAAAAUUAGCCGGGCGUGGUGGUGGGCCUCUGUAGUCCCAGCUACUCGGGAGGCUGAGGCAGGAGAAUGGCAUGAACCCAGGAGGCAGAGCUUGCAGUGAGCUGAGAUUGUGCCACUGCACUCCAGCUUGGGUGACAGAGCAAGACUCCGUCUCAAAAAAAAAAGAAAAAAGAAAAAAGAAAACAUAUGUUGGCUGGGUGUGGUGGCUCACGCCUGUAAUCCCAGCACUUUGGGAGGCUGAGGCGGGUGGAUCACGAAGACAGGAGUUCGAGACCAGCCUGAUCAACAUGGUGAAACUCCGUCUCUACUAAAAAUACAAUAAUUAGCUAGGCAUGGUGGCACGCACCUAUAAUCCCAGCUACUGAGAAGGCUAAGGCAGGAGAAUCAUUUGAACCCAGGAGGUGGAGGUUGCAGUGAGCCGAGAUCGUGCCACUGCACUCCAGCCUGGGAGACAGGGUGAGAGUCCGUGUCAAAAAAAGAAAACAGGCCAGGUGCCGUGGCUCACACCUGUAAUCCCAGCACUCUGGGAGGCUGAGGCGGGUAGAUCACAAGGUCAGGAGAUCAAGACAACCCUGCCUAACACAGUGAAACCCCGUCUCUAAUAAAAAAAAUACAAAAAAUUAGCCGGACUUAGUGGCGGGUGCCUGUAGUCCCAGCUACUAGGGAGGCUGAGGCAGGAGAAUGGUGUGAACCCGGAGGGCGGAGCUUGCAGUGAGCCAAGAUAGUACCACUGCACUCCAGCACUCCAGCCUGGAUGACAGAGCGAGACUCCUUCUCAAAAAAAAAAAAAGAAAAGAAAAGAAAACAAA